GUAUAUCGAUCAUCUUCAUCAAAGGACCGUGCCCUGUCUCCAUCAUAGUUCCUAUUUCCUGACCCAAACUGAUCAUCAUUUCCACGACCUCCUCUGUAACUAUCAUCUUGGUAAUUGUCUCUUCCAUAUUGUUCAUCAGAAUCACGACCAUACCUUUCUCUAUCUCGAUUGUACGAGUCUCCACCUCUUCCAUAUCUGUCAUCAUCCCUAUAUCCCCCAUCUCUUUCUCUCCCAUACCCAUUUCGCUCUUCAUCUCUGCUGCCAUAACGACCUUCAGAACGAUCAUCAUCAUAACGAUCACCAUAGCCUCCAUGACUUGAACCUGACCUAAAUGCUCCGUCAGUUGAAUUUGCACUGCGGUACUUGUCCUUGUUAGCGAGAGCUUUUUCCCUGACCUCCUGUAUCCGUUCUUUGUCAUUUACUAGAGAAACAAGCGUCUGAGAUUUCCUCCUAACAUUGUUUCCUUGAUCCCUUCCAUUAUGAUCAAGGUACUGAAAGUCGGAUAGAGUCGAUAUCUG
rnacentral:misc_RNA from 1 species